GAUGAACGCUGGCGGCGUGCUUAACACAUGCAAGUCGAACGAAGAAGCCCAGCUUGCUGGGUGGAUACGUGGCGAACGGGUGAGUAACAAGUGAGUAGAUUGCCCUUAUAUCUGGGAUAGGCAAGGUCGAGUGGGUCUAGUACAGGCUAGGAGAGUCAACCAAAUGGAGGGUGCUGGAGAGAUUUAUCGGUUUUGGGUGGCCUCGCGGUGUAUCAGCUUGUUGGUGAGGAAAUGGCAAACUAAGGCGAUGACAGGUAGCCGGCCUGGGAGGGUGACCGGCCACCCUGGUCCUGCGGCACGGCCCAGUCUCCUACGUGAGGCAGCAGGCGGGAAUAUUGCGCAGCGGGCGCACGCCUGUUGCAACGGUGCCGCGUUCGUGAUGCCGUCCUUCUAGUUGUAAACCACUGUCAGUGUGGAAGUAGCCAAAUUGACGGUACCUGCAGAAGAAGCACCGGCUAACUACGUG
rnacentral:rRNA from 1 species